GUACCCCCUGACACCCUGCCCCAUGCUUUAUACUUGCCUCUGUCCCCCCAGGUUCCCCUUCUACUUUGAGCUCAAGAUUGCCUUUGUGAUAUGGCUUCUGUCCCCUUACACCAAGGGCUCCAGCGUACUCUACCGCAAGUUUGUGCACCCAACACUAUCCAACAAGGAGAAGGUUUGGCCCCAUUCAGCUUGCUUCCCAGCCUCCCCAAGCCAAGGCAGCCCUGCACCUGCAGCCACACAACCCUGUGCCAUACAUUCCUGGCCCUCCCUUUAGGUCUCCAGAACCUAAAGUGACCUGGCAAUGCCCCAGCCUCCUGGAGUGAGCAAAGAGCAGGGCCUCCACAGCAGUACCCGCCCCUGACCUCUUCCUCCUUCCCUUUAAAUCUCUCAGGAGAUCGAUGAGUACAUCACACAGGCCCGGGACAAGAGCUACGAGACCAUGAUGAGAGUGGGCAAGAGAGGCCUGAACCUGGCUGCCAAUGCCGCUGUCACAGCUGCUGCCAAGGUGAGAUGGGGUGGGCCCGGACUUCAAGGACCCCCACCUUGUUUGUCUCCUGCUCCUGGCCAGUCCCUUGGCAUCCACCCUAUCCUCAGGGCCAUGGAGACUUUGGUCUUGUGCAGCUUGGGCUACCAGUCCUAGCUCUGUGUCCAGCCAAGUCACUUCUGCUGUCCAGCCACAGUUUCCUCAGCUGACCACAGGGAAAGUAUGACCCGGCCUCUCAGUGAGCCUGGGUAAGGACAGUGCGGGGAAAGCACUGAGCCCAGGAGCUGCUGCCAGCACCAUGGUGACCUUUGUCUCAAACCCACCCCCACACCCCUGCUGUCUUGGUGUGUGGUGGUGACCCUAGGGCCAGGGGGUGCUGUCAGAGAAGCUCCGGAGCUUCAGCAUGCAGGACCUGACGCUGAUCCGAGACGAGGAUGCACUGCCUCUGCAGGGAACUGAAGGCCGCCUCCGAACUGCCCCUGGUGGCCUUCUAGACACCAUUGAGGACUUAGGUACAGGCAGGGGUCAGGGCCAUGGGGGAGGAACAGGGUGGAGGAAGCCAGGUGGGAGACCCUGGACCUUUGUUCUCCUUUCCUCCCCAUCAACCAGCUGAUGAGGCUGCCCUGAGUAUAAGGUCUAGCACAAACCAGACAGAUCCCCGGACAGAGACCUCAGAGGAUGACAUGGGAGACAAGGCCCCCAAGAGGGUCAAAUCCAUCAAAAAAGUGCCCAAAACUGAGGUGAGAGCAUGGGCCAGAGCUUGAGGAAGUGGAGAAGGGGUGGUGGCACUGGUCUGAGUCCUGUCUUCUUCUACACUCCACAGCCACUGGCUUCCAAGACACUAAAGACCAGGCCUAAGAAGAAGAGCUCUGGCGGGGGUGACUCAGCUUGAGGCCCCAUGCCCCCACACUGCGGAGCAAAGAGGGAGCCCAAGGAAGGGGCCACAGCCCUAGCCCCUGCUCUAUACUGUGCCAUCAGCCUAGGUGUCUCAGGCUCUGGGGCUCCCUCAGAUACUCGUUCCUGAGACCCACCCAGUGGCCACUCCUCUGGAGGGGGCUUGGAAAAGAGAAGAGAGGCCCAGCUGUGCGGGUUGUGGGUAGAGGUGGCCCCAGAGCUGAGCACUGAGCUCCCAAGGAGGGGAGGGCUCCUCAGCCCACACUGCUCUUCUCCCCACUCCAGUCCUGCCCUGCCCAUCCAGUGCCUUGCUGAAGACCAUGGCCAUCCCCUUCUUUGAGGCCCUGACAUGCCCCCCUGUUCUCCCCAGGAUGAGGGUUAGGGACAGUCACAGCCAGAUGUACCAAGGAAGGGGCCUGAAGGCACUGGGAGAAAGGGAGCAAAUAGGACAGGCCUUGAGGGACCUGGAUGGGGCUUCUAGACACAGCUUUUGAGUGAAGGACAUGAAUUUUGUGUGGAUUUAAAUGACUGAGAUGCCCUGAUCAGAGCUGCAUCUGGUAAGGCUGUGUGCUACAUGUCCCCCCUGAAAAAAGAGGGUAGGGUUCGGUGUGUGAGUGUUGAGUGUUAUUUUACUGGGUCUAGAGCUGGGGCCAGUUUGGGUUAAGGACUCUCCCUCUAGUGCUCACCUCCUUCCACUCUCAGCCCUGGUCUUUCCCCCUCUUCACUGUCCCUGCUAGUCUCUGAGCCUCAGAGGAUCCCAGCCCAGGUCAGGAUGGGGCUCUAAGGGACCUCUCUGCUCCCCCUCUAUCCUUGAUCCUUUUUGCCUCACCUACUCCUGUCCUGACUUCCUAGACCUCAGUCACUGCAGAAGCCCCGCUGAGCUGGCUCCUUCCUCUUCCCACUGGGUCCUUCUUUGCCCCAGGGUCCCAUUCUUAAGCCAAGCAGACCCCUGUCAGAGCCCAGCUCCAACCCUACCCCACCUCCCAUUUCUGCGUGGCUUCCAUCAGGGCCAAGAGGAACCUGUGACAAAAGAAAUGCAGGAGCAGAAGGACUCUCAAUUCUUUGUAAAGAUAGUGCCCAUUGGACCUUUGGCACUAGAUGAGCCAAUAAACCAAAUUCUGGCACCUCACUUAUUUCG
rnacentral:lncRNA from 1 species